GCCGUUGUAGCUCAGCCGGUAGAGCGGCGCACUCGUAAUGCGCAGGUCGAGAGUUCGAGUCUCUCCAACGGCU
rnacentral:tRNA from 1 species